CAUGCAAGUCGAGCGGUAACAGAAAGUAGCUUGCUACUUUGCUGACGAGCGGCGGACGGGUGAGUAAUGCUUGGGAACAUGCCUUGAGGUGGGGGACAACAGUUGGAAACGACUGCUAAUACCGCAUAAUGUCUACGGACCAAAGGGGGCUUCGGCUCUCGCCUUUAGAUUGGCCCAAGUGGGAUUAGCUAGUUGGUGAGGUAAUGGCUCACCAAGGCAACGAUCCCUAGCUGGUUUGAGAGGAUGAUCAGCCACACUGGAACUGAGACACGGUCCAGACUCCUACGGGAGGCAGCAGUGGGGAAUAUUGCACAAUGGGCGAAAGCCUGAUGCAGCCAUGCCGCGUGUGUGAAGAAGGCCUUCGGGUUGUAAAGCACUUUCAGUCAGGAGGAAAGGGUGUGAGUUAAUACCUCAUAUCUGUGACGUUACUGACAGAAGAAGCACCGGCUAACUCCGUGCCAGCAGCCGCGGUAAUACGGAGGGUGCGAGCGUUAAUCGGAAUUACUGGGCGUAAAGCGUACGCAGGCGGUUUGUUAAGCGAGAUGUGAAAGCCCCGGGCUCAACCUGGGAACUGCAUUUCGAACUGGCAAACUAGAGUGUGAUAGAGGGUGGUAGAAUUUCAGGUGUAGCGGUGAAAUGCGUAGAGAUCUGAAGGAAUACCGAUGGCGAAGGCAGCCACCUGGGUCAACACUGACGCUCAUGUACGAAAGCGUGGGGAGCAAACGGGAUUAGAUACCCCGGUAGUCCACGCCGUAAACGAUGUCUACUAGAAGCUCGGAACCUCGGUUCUGUUUUUCAAAGCUAACGCAUUAAGUAGACCGCC
rnacentral:rRNA from 1 species